UACGUAGGGGGCGAGCGUUGUCCGGAGUUACUGGGCGUAAAGCGCACGCAGGCGGUCUGCUAAGUUUGGAGUGACAGUUGGUGGCUUAACUGCCAAAGUGCUUCGAAAACUGACAGACUUGAGGGCUUCAGAGGGACACGGAAUUCCGGGUGGAGUGGUGAAAUGCGUAGAGAUCCGGAGGAACACCAAAGGCAAAGGCAGUGUCCUGGGGAGUACCUGACGCUCAGGUGCGAAAGCCAGGGGAGCGAA
rnacentral:rRNA from 1 species